AUAUUGGACAAUGGGCGAAAGCCUGAUCCAGCNAUGCCGCGUGAGUGAUGAAGGCCUUAGGGUUGUAAAGCUCUUUUACCAGGGAUGAUAAUGACAGUACCUGGAGAAUAAGCUCCGGCUAACUCCGUGCCAGCAGCCGCGGUAAUACGGAGGGAGCUAGCGUUGUUCGGAAUUACUGGGCGUAAAGAGUACGUAGGCGGUGAUUCAAGUCAGAGGUGAAAGCCUGGAGCUCAACUCCAGAACUGCCUUUGAAACUNGAUCGCUAGAAUUGUGGAGAGGUUAGUGGAAUUCCGAGUGUAGAGGUGAAAUUCGUAGAUAUUCGGAAGAACACCAGUGGCGAAGGCGACUAACUGGACACAUACUGACGCUGAGGUACGAAAGCGUGGGGAGCAA
rnacentral:rRNA from 1 species